CUGCAUGCAACAUCCCUGGAGAGCGGAGCAAGGCACAGUUCAAGACUACCUGGAGCCAGUCCUCCAAAAAAGAUGUUCUUGUCUUGGCCAGAGCAUGUCUUUUGUGUUCCUGCUGCCCCCGGCACUGUCCAAGAAGAUGGAGGAAGCAGUGAGAAGCAAAUGAAGUCAGAGGCUGUGUUGUACAAAGGCCUUGUCACCAUGUUCCAGGAGGAACACGCUUAGCGGAAUCCCAGAUUGCACUCCUGGACCAAAUACAUGAUCAUGUUCUGUAUUCUGCAACGUUUGAAAGUACCUUG